rnacentral:lncRNA from 1 species
UUAUGUGUAGCUCAAUAAAUAUGACCCAGAUUUUUAUCUACCUUCCAAAUAGCAUCACAAUCCCACACUUCCUUCUGAUUGCAACUAAUGUUUUUUUAGUGUUGAGUGUAUAUUAAAUAUGGAUUGUUGAGGAAUAAUGUUAAUAAACUCACACUAGAAUGAACACAGCUGCACAGUUCAUAUAUAAAUAGACAUGCUCUUUAUAAUAUCAUAAUCUAUACAGUAUCUCUUUGUAAGUGGUUGAUGUGGUUGGAGAGAAACAGUUAAUAACUCCUGACAGUUAGUUUACUUCUGGCAGUUUUAACUUUUAAUCACCAAUGAUUCCAUACAGUGUAAUUUAUUCAGCAGUACAGCAGCUAUAGCUCUUUAUGACUCUUGGUUACAUGAGCUGAAGUUCUUGUAAGCUGUGCGAAUUAUAUCCAUAUCUAAACUCAUACCUGCUGACAAAGUUAAACAACAAACUAAAGCUUAUAUAAAGUGAACACAGCAUGUUCUGAGCACUGUGCACAACACCUUACUAUACAUUCACUAUAUAUUGACAAAAGUGAUAAAACUGUUUCUACUGUCCAGAGAAGACUUUAUACAAGAUUUGGACAAGAUCGAGCAUUGCUGUGAGGAUUUGAUUGCGAGGCUUGAGCAGGAGGAGCUGUUUGUUAAUAUGGGCAGACUGCGCUCUCCUCGUACGCGAGACGCCAUGCGUAACAAGCCGUGACAUUAUCUCACAGGCCUGUCACAAACGCCACUUAUCAUUACUAUUGUCACCGCAACACGGGUUUAUGGCAGCAGGCCUGUAUAUUUAUCUCUCAAUCACUCAACUCAGGAAUCUGCUGCUGUAAAUCUGAAUCUGUGUAUCUGAACUGUCACUCUUUAUAAAGUACCAAUCAAAAGUUUGGACACACCUUCUGAUUCAAUGUUUUACUUUUUUUUUUUAUUAUUUUUCCUACAUAAAUGAAUGUAAAUGAAUAGUGAAGUCAUUUAGACUAUGAAGGAACACAGAGAAUAAAUCCUGUAGUAAUUUUAAAGUGUUAAACA